GUUCAUAUCAAUGAAGUUAAUUUAGAACAUCUAGCAAACAUGCAUCGGGAAUUGAAGAUUAACCAUUUGUAGCAGCUUAUCUUCGAAAGAAGGUCAAAGGAUUCGGUUGUUGACGCAGAUUUUGCACUUCCGCAAGUCACUGUCUCAGUCUUAGUGGAUAAUAUAAACCAGCUAGAGCGUGAGAUUGAGCAGCUGAAGACGCAGCUGAGAACAGCCAACGCACUUGAUCGAUGGCAGGAAGUCGUCAAUAGCAACACUGGAGGGCCAGGUGGAGGAGCUGAAGAAGCGCUCGGGCAACCAGCGGGACAUGAUCGACCGCCUGGAGGACCAGGUCCGCGCCAUGACCAUCGACCGGACAGCCAUGCAGUCCAAGAUUGAACAACUUCAGUCGAACAUGGCCAAAAGGAUGACUGCAUUCAGAAACUGAAGGCUGAUAUGGCCCCCAUACACAGGCAGCAGAAAAAGGCCACAGAAAAGGAUCCAAGACAAAAUUAUAUACCUCCCUAUUUAGGACGGAGAAAAGUUUACCGCAGACGAUUGCAGUGAAGAGGAUUAAACAGUUUAUAACAGAUUCUUGCUCAUUCAAAAAAGGAAUCUGUGUGAGUAACAGCUGCAUGUGAAUACAGGCAGCGAACAUAAGUUGAUUCAUCCGUCGUGUUUGAUAACUCUUGUAACUAUGGAGACGGUCUAUUUUCACUGACAAGCAGAAGGACGAUAUAGAGAUUAAGUGAAAGUGCCUCUCUUUGUGUUUGUUUCAAAAUUGGCAUUAGCAGGCAACCAGUAUCAUGCUUAAAACUGACUGUAUAUGAUAGCACACGAUGUCUGUCGUAAUGACCAUUAACUGCGUUUGCAUUUUUAGCUCGACAAUUAUAUAUAUAUAUGUCCCUUGACAUAUUGCUUUCAUAUUUUGCAUACUUCCUAUCCAACAUGACCCCAACCUAUAAACAAGAGCAGACAACUGUAUCAAGCAUUUUGUAAGAAUUAUGGCCCUUUUUUCACUUAAAAUAUGCAUAUUAUUGAUAAAUCUAUGUUAAAGUUUGCGUACCACCUCAAAUAUUUGCAAUGUCCCUUGACAUAUUGCUUUCAUAUUUUGCAUACUUCUUUACCAAGAUGACCCCAACCUAUAAACAAGAGCAGACAACUGUAUCAAGCAUUUUGUAGGAAUUAUGGCCCUUUUUUGUCUUUGUAACUUUGAAUAUUUUCUUAAAUUUUGUGUUUAGAUCCACUUUACUUCUUAAGUAUUAAGGCUAUUGCUUUCAAACUUCAAAUACUUUCUUACCAUCAUGAUGUUACUGUACCUGGCAAGUUGAAUUCGACCUUGACCUUUGGAUGACCUUGACUCUCAAUGUCAAAUUAAUAAAUUUUGCUGAAAUUGCCAUAACUUCUUUAUUUAACAUCAGAUUUGAUUCAUACUUUGACAAAACAACACUUACCUGACAUACCACAAUGGACUCCACCCAAACUAUCCCCCACGCCCCACCCCAGAAUCCCC